rnacentral:rRNA from 1 species
UACGAAGGGGGCUAGCGUUGCUCGGAAUCACUGGGCGUAAAGGGUGCGUAGGCGGUCUGACAAGUCUGAUGUGAAAUCUAUGGGCUCAACCCAUAGCCUGCAUCGGAAACUGUCGGGCUUGAGUAUGGGAGAGGUGAGUGGAAUUCCUGGUGUAGCGGUGAAAUGCGCAGAUAUCAGGAGGAACACCAAUGGCGAAGGCAGCUCGCUGGGACGGUACUGACGCUGGAGACGCGAAAGCGUGGGGAGCAAACAGG